rnacentral:rRNA from 1 species
GACAGAGGAGGCAAGCGUUAUCCGGAAUUAUUGGGCGUAAAGCGUCCGUAGGUGGUUUGACAAGUCUGGGGUUAAAGCCCGGAGCCCAACUCCGGAUCGGCCCUGGAAACUGUCAGACUUGAGUAAGGAAGGGGUUGCGGGAAUUCCCGGUGUAGCGGUGAAAUGCGUAGAUAUCGGGAAGAACACCAGCGGCGAAAGAGCGCAACGGGGCCAUUACUGACACUGAGGGACGAAAGCUAGGGGAGCGAAUGGG